rnacentral:rRNA from 1 species
GGGUCAGUAGGUUGGUCGUGCCACCGGUACGUACUGGUCUCACUGAUCCCUCCUUCCUGAAGAACCGUAAUGCCAUUAAUUUGGUGUUGCGGGGAAACAGGACUGUUACUUUGAAAAAAUUAGAGUGUUUAAAGCAAGCUAACGCUUGAAUACAUUAGCAUGGAAUAAUGGAAUAGGACGAUCGAUCCUAUUUUGUUGGUUUCUAGGAUUGACGUA